rnacentral:lncRNA from 10 species
CCUGUGUGGGGAGGCUCUUUGAUUCCUGGGGAGGAAGGCUAGAGAACAGGCAGCUCUUUUCUCUCUGCUAGAAAAGAGGAGGCGGCUCCUCACAAGGUUCCUUCCCACAGCUGAGCACUGCCCACAGCUGCCCUUGCCCCUGCCUUUCCACGUUGCACAAGCCCAGCGCACGGUACCCACUGGAUAUGCCCGAGGCCUCCAGAGGAAAGGAAAGGAGGAAAAGGGACAGAAGAAAUGUUCACAGGAACUGCAUAUGGGCCUGCUACUUGUGUCAAAAUGUGACUGAACUCUCUUCCAGCAGGUGUGGGGAAAAGAGUGACUUCACCUUAAAUGUUAACCUGCCAUGUAACUUCUGACUAAUCCCAGGUCCAGAAAUGCCUCCAAAUGUCUCGUUGCUGUAUUACUCUUUAUGUGGAAACACCUGUUCACUUGUGAAUCCCUGGAAGGCAAGAUCGCCAUUCUGGUCUCUUGUGGAUAUCAAUGCUGAUCUCAGCUUCUGAUGCACGGCAGUCAAUUAAUAAAUGAUUGUUGCCUGAAAAACUGAGCCCCAAAACAAUAUUACAAGUUUAAUAUCAGUAAAGGAUUUAAUGCUUUCUAACAUGAAGAUACCAGACAGUCUUUUCUAUUCCUGGACUUUUAGAGUUGCUGAUUUUUGUAUAACCCAGAGAUGGAUUUAAAUGCAGAGUGUAUGAACUUCUUCAUUCCUGAGGGAGGACUUAUGAUUUCAUGAGAAAUGCCCUAGGAAAGGGGCCGGGGAGACUGAUGGAGAAGAAGAGUUUGGGAGGGAAGCCCCAAGGACCAUCUGCCCCAUCAGAGUCACAUGCAGAGGGUCCUGCUCCUGCCGUUGGAAGUUGGCUUCCUGAGCUGCUGAACGUGCCAGUCCUGCUGACCCACUCUCAGAUAUCACAGGCACCCGCUGUGUCUGACAGAGACCUUUCUGCAAGUACACGUGCAGGUCUGCUCUGCAAAGGCGUUAUCAUCUGCAGAUUAUUGCACAGAGUGGCUACGAGCUGUGGUGUGAUCCUGUCACAGAGAGAGCCUGGUCACGUUUUCAGAACAGCAGGAAACAGGUACACCUGUAAGCUUAUACUUAUCAGAUUUAAAAAUAAAACAAAAAAUCCAUGCUAUUCCAUGAAAAUCGGACUCAAAUAAACUUAGUCACUGAUCUGUGAAGUAAAUAAUCUGAUGGUAAUGCAUCAGUUGACACUUGGGCCUGGGUUUUUAGGCACUAAUGAAAGCCAGGGGCAAAAUAAUUUUUAAUCUACCAUUAUUUCCCUUGAUGGUUC